CGGCGCUGGCUGCUCCCGGCCCCAGCCUGACUGACGACGGAGCAUGCCCAGUGGCCGCCGGGGCGCUCCGGGCGAGGGAUUCCACCGCUCCGGGUUUUGUUCGGGCUGGGAAAAUGGGCGCUCUGCAAUCGCUGGAGCAGUCAGGUGGUCCAGCCUGGGCCUUUGAGGUCCUUAUCUUCUUUUUCCAGGCCCGAAGACUCCUUCAUUCCCAGCCCAGGUGCUACACCUAGGUGGAUUCUUUACCAACUGAGCUAUCAGGGAAGCCAUGCCACAACAGAUAAUGAAACACAUCCAUUGGCCUUGAGUCUGUCUGCCAGGUCAGAAGGAAGAUGCCUAUCCUCUUCUCUCCUGCCUCUAUGCCAUUCACCACCUAUUCCUACUUUAGUUCUUUUUAAUUUUGUACAUUCCCAGUAUUUCAGAGCACUUAUAAUCUUAUGAUGAAGUCUUUUCUCAUCUGAGAAAAGUCUUGUUAAUAUAUCCAAUAAUGUUUUCUUAAAAGAUGGUGUUGGCGAUACAGAUAUUCCUGUCUACCUGUCUCUAAUGCCCAA